AGGUGGAGGCUUACAAUAGAAAUCCGACGUGGACCGCUCGUAGUAGAAAUUCGAAGUAGACCGCUUGUAGUGGUAGCUCGGAGUAGAUCGCUUGUAGUAGAAGCUCAGAGUAGAUCGCUUGCGGUGGGGGCUCGGAGCUCGGCCCUUGUAAGGAUUCGGAUGAGGUCUACCUGCAAUAGGAGCUCAGGGCUGAAGUCCGGCUCUCGUAGGAGCUCGAACGAAGUCUACCUGCAGUAGGAGUUCGGAGAAGAAGUCCGGCUCCCGUAGGAGCUCGGAUGAAAUCCAGAAGGCGGUCGACCACCGUAGAAAUUUGGAUG
rnacentral:lncRNA from 1 species